UGUUGAAUGAAACCAUAAUAAACACAGUCCUUGUGUGUUCCACGAAAGAUGGCGGUGUAUUUAUCAAGUGGAAGCUCGUGACAAUGACUGAGGCUGAGGUAUUUGACGAGUGACUUAGAAGUAAUCUAGGUUAUCGCUGAUAAGCCAAACCUUGCUCAUUCUCCUGAUGUCUUGACGGGGACGAGACGAUACAAAACUCGAGUGAGAUAAGAUGCUAGACAUGAGUGUACGGCUGUCACUGCAACGUUUAUCAAGAGUGUGAUAACGGAUAUAUACGGAUAUUGUACUCCACUCUAUCGUAACGCCAUGAAGUUCGGACAGCUGUUGUUGAGCUGAACUAGCCGGCAGUCUUCCCAGUGACGGAGCGAGUGUAGCGGUGGGCGAGGACGAUUCUCUCAGCUGUUUCCUUAUUGAGAGAGAGAGAGAGAGAGAGAGAGAGAGAGA